UGGCGGCCUGUGGGGGAGGGGGUCACGCAGACAAGUGGCUGCAGCCACAGCUACUGCUCUCAGGAGUCUGCCUCAGGUGCCAGGCGCCAAGUGCUGGAGCCCUCCAAACAGUGACAGGAUCCCCACGCUGGGGCUGGAUGAUGUAGGCCUCUCCUUCAAGCUUUGCUUGCCUGGGAGGGUGCCCAGGAGUGGGGCCCGAGAAACGUGUCUUCAGCCAAAGGACCGCCGUGUGCAGAGCACCAGAGCGGGCCAGUGGGCGGCGGCCGCCCAGGCGCGGGAUCUCUCCAUCCCCACUGAGGCCCAGCUCUCUGGCCCUCCAUCUCGUGGUGCAGGCCAGGCUUUGCCAGCCAAGAGAAGUCUCUGGAGGUGAAGAGACAGUCCCCAUUUCCCCGGCAGAGCAGACCUGCGCCUUUGGAGCUCCCGGACUGGCCUGGCCACUUGUGGGCGCCGUCAUCCUCCAGCACUGGGAAGUGACUCAGGAGAAUUCAGCGCUGCUGCAGGCGGGAGCCCUGACGCCAGGCCGCCUCCAUGGAGCUGCUGGCAUCCCAGCUCAGCCCGCCUCCCUCCUGGUGUCAUCCCAGCCUGGCCUUGCCUGGCUCCGAUGGCCCUGAGCAGACACGCACUGGAGGCCCAGCCAGAUGGUGGCCCCCAACGGCCCAGAGCGUCGUGCGGGUUCUCAGCAUCCCUUGUGCCACAUUCCCGGGGCCCAAGUCACCCUCUACUCACCAGGGAGCCCCUGUGUGCUGCCCCUGCCGCCUCAUCCCUGCAGAGCCAGUGAGGCCCAAAGCCCAGUGAGUCCCCUGUUUACACACAGCGGGGGCUUCUGCCCCCAGCCGGGCUCUGCCGCUACACCACUGUGGGACUCCGGGAAGCCCCUGCCUCAGUCUCCCUAGCUAGCCCACGGAGCGGGCCCCUUCGCCUCCCAGACUGGUGUAUGCACAAAAUGAGGUCCUGGACAGAGAUGCUCAUGGCCUUUGCUGCAGAGGAAAGCAAAGUGGGCCUGGUGACAAGGCCCCCCUCCCAGGCCCUCCCCCAGCGUCCUGGCCCCACCCCUUCCAGGCACUGAUGCUCAAACGCUAUUAUUAUUAGCCAGAGUCUGAGACUGGAGAAUGGGAGAAGGCAGUGCAGAGGGACCUGGGAGUGGGGGGUGGGGGGUGGGGGGGAUUUGUGGUUCUGCCAGAUAGACCUUGUGCCCUAUUCCUGUGUGACAGUAGGAGGUGGCCCUAGGGGCCAAGCUGUGCCCGCUCCUCCACGGGCCCCUUGGCUUCCCUGGCUGGAAGCAGAAGCCAGCGCAGACUCUUCGGAGCGGCCCUCCCCUAGCCCAGGUCCAGCCUAGGUUGGG